UAAGAAAUGACUUCCGGUCACGUGSUAAUUUUUCUUGACAAUGGUGACGUCAUACACAGCACGGCCUCUUUCCACCGCCAUUCCUGACAAGUGAAGGAUUAAUAAUUCAAUCUAUCUUAAUCAGGUCCAUCCCGAUUGAAUCUGCAAGUCACAAUUUCAGACUCCGACCGACUACGUUUUCUGAAAUGGAUGUAUGAGUAAUAAACAGUCUUAUACCUGGCUCUUCGUUAAUGACAAGAUGGGACGUCGAAGCCAUAUUCUUAAAGGAAUGGAGAAUCAAUUACGAACUCGAUUCACCAACAAACCUUGGACGCUUGAAUGAGUCAGCUUGUCAUCUAGAACUGACACCGAAUAUAGUUGGUUCAAACAGAUAAACCGUGCCGCGAUCGUAGGUUCAUUGUAAUUGGAUAAACCACAUUUCCGCGCAGCUAUCAUUGGUUCAAGUCAGGGGAGGAGUGAAGCCUAUCCCAGAAUGCAUUGCGUUUUAUAGUUAGACGCGCCUUAAGUACUGCUACGUGACAAUAUUUGCAAGCAUCCUAUUGGUUGAUAUAAGAUACGCGGAUUUAAUUACCAGAUCUAACAAAAGUAUAAUGUCAGCAAAAAAAAGUCUAAUGUCAGCGUUACUGUUCAGACUAGUUCUUGAUAUUCAAGAAUGUUUAUUGUUUAACAGAUCAAAAACAGUUUUCCGUAUUUGAUACUCUGAUCAAAACACGCGGGAUGUUGAGAGAACACGAGAGAAGCGUAGGAAACCACGACGCGUAGCGGAGUGGUUCCCAGCUUCUCGAGUGUUCUCCCAACAUUCCAUAAAAUCAACAUGUGAGUUGAGUUUGUUUGAUGUGUUGUUCUCUCCUUUCCUACCAGGGUUUGUCUACAGCAGGUUCUCUGCUGGUUUUUCACCGUCCGUAAAAAUCAAAAUUUGGGAAUUAAAGAGAGUUGUACGAACAGAAUUUUGAAUGUAGUGGUAGUGGUGUUAGUGAACCUGGGCCAAAUUAAUGGGGAGCUAGUAUUCAUACAAAAUUUUUAUACCCAAUAUCAAUAGCAAACAAUAAUUAAAUGUAGCUAGUGCUUUUUAGUUCAACUUUUGUUUAAGAAUUUUUUUAGAGACGGAUAGCGAUUCCAACGUACUGUAAAUGGGAGUUCCCACAAACAAUUUCGAGAUUAAUAAUAGCUGAAGACGCGGAAAUUGAAUGACCUUUCGAAUCAUCUAGGAAUUCGGUAAUUCCCCUGGUAUUAGAAAGCAAAAAAAAAAAAAAAAAAAGGAUUAUAAUGACCUUUCAAUCGCGAAUCUUAUCUAGGGUCUGGGGUAGGGUAUCAUUUUUUGGCAUUUUGUCUGGGAUAGGGUGUCCUUUUUGUCUGGGAUAGGGUUACGAUUUGGUCGUUUUUGUCUGGCGAAUAGACUACGCUUUCUGACGGCACGAAAACAAUAAAAACGUUAGUAAAUAUU